rnacentral:lncRNA from 1 species
GUAAUUGUGCUACUCAUUUUGUAAUUGCAUUGCUUCUUUGGAUAAUUUUGAGUAGUGAGCUUAGUUUCUCUAUAGUAUAAACACAAACCUUCUUGACAACAUUGUCAUAAUAUGUGAAGUCUUCCUUGAGAAUGCUCCAAGUACCUAGUUGUGGAAGGUAGAAUAGAAAUUAUAACAACAAAAUCUUAACUCUAAUAUAAUAUUAAUUAAAUUAUAAUUAGACCAUAAAAAUACUAAGUAAGCUUUAAUCAAAUUAAAAUAAACUUCAAAAGAAUUACAAAGAAAUAAUAAGAAGUUUUAAAGAAAUAUUAGAAUGAUUACAAAUACAUCUCAAAUACAUCUCAAUUUAAUCUUAAUUUAAUCUUAGUUAAAAUUAUAUUGGACUUCAUUCAAACUUUAGGCUAAAAACUAACUAAAUCUUAAACCCUAAAAAAUCCUAAUAAAAUCCUAAAUCCUAAAUUAAAUCCUAAUCAAAUCCUUAUCAAAUCUUAAAUCCUAAAUCAAACCCUAACCAAAUCCUAAACCAAAUCCUAAAUCCUAAAUCAAAUCUUAAUCAAAUUCUAAUCCUAAAUCAAAUUCUAAAUCCUAAACCAAAUCCUAAAUUCUAAACCAAAUCCUAACCCUAAAUCAAACUCUAGCCAAAUCCUAAUAA